rnacentral:piRNA from 1 species
UUACAUUUUGUCAUCAGUUUU